GCAGGAGGAGGAGGGUUGAUGAAGAUAUGAUAAUUAGGUAGAGGAGAAGAAGAAGACGAAGAUGGUGAACUACUUGUUGUUGUUGUUGCUGUUGUAAUAGCAGUAGUGAAGUAAUGAGCGUUUAGGUAGUGCUGAUGAUCUUGGUUAAGGUCUAUGGAGAAAGGAGGGAAUUGGUGGGAGGAAUAUUGAUAAUUUGAAUUCAUCAUGAUCAUGGACAGUACAAAACAGAUCGGCCAAUAGAAU
rnacentral:lncRNA from 1 species